CUCUUCCUCCUCUCCUCCACUAGAGGGAGACUGAACUCUAUACCUAAACACAGACACAAGACAAAUGAAGAGCAGGUGAUGUAAGGUGGAGGAAGUAUUCAGAAACGGAAAGUACUUAAUUCAAAUGGUAACCAAACUGCUGGAGGGGUGUUGGCGUCUGACUGAGAGCAGCUUUCGGGCUGAGCUCCAGCGAGGGGAACGAGAGUCACAAUAAUCCAACUUGUACCUGUGUGUCAUGGACAGAGAGUGUGCCGAGUGUGGACCAAAGUGACAUUUACAGGCUCUGCUGCACUGCUGCGUCUUGAGCCCACGGAGUGCUCUUCCCAGUGAAGCUCCUCUCAGCAUUGAUGCGGGGGAACAGAGAGAUCCAGGGCAGGGAGGGGUGCUGCCAGUACGCCAGACUCUGCUGGAAGGCACAACGAAGCUCUGAGCAGGACUUGGGAUCCUGCAUGGUGGAACAGCGAGGAUUCACAGAGCUCGUUUGGAUGACCCUUCAUGCAUUUGGAGCAGCAGUCACCUUUACCUGAGCUUCCACAUGUCACACAGUUGAAAAUACACUCUGGGCUUUUCCUGAUCCUGCCUGGAUGUGCACUACUGUCCUCGCUGAUGCCUGAACAGCCCCCCGAGGAGGCAGCAGCAUGAUGGACAUACAGCUCAGAGGGACGACAGGAGGGGGGGACACAUGUGGCCCACCUCCCUGUAACGAGGACUAACGCUGCUGACGAUCCUCCACUGACGACUCGCCGAGGGUUACGACACGUUGUGAGUUUGACGUUUAU